GGACCUGCCGUGAGAACCCCAGUGCCCAGGCUGUGCUGUGCUCUGGGGGCACGCUCAGCUCUUCCCCUGGCACACAGCCUGGGAGCAGGGAGUCCUCGCCUCUUGCC
ensembl:miRNA